rnacentral:lncRNA from 1 species
GAUAAAUAGAUAACGUUAUCAAUUAAUAUGAAACAUAAACGAGCCAAUUUUUCAGUUAAAGCAAUCGAUGAAUACUAUACCAUGUGCAUCCUAGAAUACUAAUGUCAUAACCUUGCCUAAAACGUUAUGAACAUUUCAACAGACCCAAUAUAGGCAGUCAACCAAUACGAAAUGGGCUUAUGAAACCCGAGAGCCUCUCACAAAUCCAUGGAUUAGGAACGUAUCAUAAUUAGUAUGUUAAAUAUCCGAGUCAUAUAAUUGCUAUUGUUAUUAAAUAAAUAUAAAGCUAAUCUAUAAGUUUAUAGGACUCAUAAAGCUUUAUUGUUUAGAGUGGUAUAUAUAAUACAUAUGUAUAUAAAUUUAUAGACCAGUGACUGUUCCACGGAUAAGGAGACGAGAAAACUUCGUCAUCACAAUAAAUCAUUUUCUAUGAGACCCAUUGUAGCAUAACUUAUUCACAAGAUACGAUAAUAUCUACUGCUACAAGAUUUAUACAUGGUUCUACAUUUAUGAAA